CACUCGUUGACCCUGCAUCUGGACAAGCUAGUUAACCUCAAUCUAAACAAUUGCAAAAGCUUGAGAAUUCUUCCAGCUGGAAUAUUUCGUUUGGAAUUUCUUAAAGAACUUGAUCUUUGGGGUUGCUCAAAACUAAAAACGCUUCCAGAGAUCUCAUCAGCUGGUAAUAUAGAAGUGAUGUAUUUAAAUGGAACUGCAAUUGAAGAAUUGCCUUCAUCCAUAGAAUGUCUAUCUGGGCUUUCGGCCUUAUACCUUGAUCAUUGUAAAAGGCUGAAGAGUCUCCCAAGCAGCCUAUGUAAAUUGAACUCUCUGAACUUUAUUUAUCUCAGGUGGUGCUCAAGUCUUAGGAGUUUGCCUGAUGAACUUGGAAAUUUAGAAGCUUUGGACAGUUUGAUUGCUGAAGGAACUGCUAUAAGAGAAGUGCCGUUGUCCAUUGUUUGUUUGAACAAUUUUGAUGGCUUGCAAAAUCUAACGUCUUUAUAUCUAACUGAUUGCGGCAUCACGGAGUUACCUGAAAAUCUCGGUCAGUUAUCCUUAUUACUUGAAUUGUAUCUAGAGAAAAACAAUUUUGAGAGAAUACCAGAGAGCAUCAUACAUCUUUCUAAGUUGGCAUAUCUUAAAUUGAGUUAUUGUGAGAGGCUUCAAUCCUUACCAAAGCUUCCAUGCAAUCUAAGUGAGUUAGAUGCACAUCAUUGCACAGCACUGGAAUCAUCUCCAGGUUUAGUAUUCCCAAGUCGUGAUCCUCAGUAUUUUGAGCUAAGAAAUAAUUUGAAAUUGGAUCGCAACGAGAUCAGGGAAAUUCUCGAAGAUGCUCAGCAAGAAAUUCAGGUUAUGGCAAUAGCACGUUGGAAACAAUUACAGGAAAAGGUAUGUUGUGUCUUUUAUGAUCCUUUUAAUCUAUACAAUGUUAUUGAGUAAUGAUCUAGUGGGCGAUAGUGCUCAUCUUAUGGAGAGCGAGAGUGGCACAUCGCAUUGCUUAAUUAAUCCACAGCCUUAACGCUAUUCACUGGGAGUUGUAGAAUUCUGCCACAUAUCCAAAUGCUCAUCCAUAUGGUGGGCACUAGCGCUCACUAGAUCAUCGUUCCAAUGCUAUUUUGUUAAUUUUUUAUUUAAAAUUAAAUUUAACAACAUUUCUUCAAAAUUAUGAUCUUUGGUACAGGGAGAUUUUUUCCAAAGUUCAGGUCGAGUAUUAUUACCUGGGAAUGAAAUUCCAAAGUGGUUUAGCUUUCAAAGUUUGGGAUCUUCUUCUAUAACCUUGAAGAUGCCACCUGUAGGUUGGUUCAGUAAUAACAAAGUGAUUGGCUUUGCUUACAGCGCUGUUGUAGGAUUUCGAGACCAUCAUGUCAAAGAGAAGAGGUGGUUUAACUUGUUCUGUGAAUUCAUGAAAGCCAAACCUGAAGAUUGUACUGAGCUACUGGUCAGACGGAGUUCUCUAAGGGGAUUUAAUUAUGUAGAGUCAGAUCACUUACUUUUGGGGUACUAUUUCUUUGGUGAGCAUGAUUUUAGUGCUUUCCAGAAACACAACUGCGAUCAUGUGGCAGUCAAGUUCUAUUUAGAGGAUGAUCAUAAUCAACGUGAACGUUUGGAUUGUUGCCCGGUGAAAAAAUGUGGGAUUCAUUUAUUGUACGCCCCUGAUUCUACGGAACCCACAGAAGAUCCAAGGAGUACUCUCGGUUGAAGUAUUCUUUAAGGCAUCAUAGUAGCUGCUACUUUUCAGUAAAUUAAUAAAUCUUAUAUUCAUAAACCUUGUUUUGCUAGCUUGGUUUCUUUUCCUUCUAUCUGUUUUUAUUACUUUUCUUUAAUUCUUUUCUUCCCAUAUAUAAAUAAUUGGCUUCAAAUAUUCAUAGGGAGAUACUUGUUUUCCUUGAAUUGCCUCGUUGCAGUAUUGAACAACUUUCGGAGAGCGUCCAGGUGUGCAAUGUCAAUAAUAUUUAAUUAUCAUACACGCUACUGAUCUGCAUGUAAUGGCUUCUUUUUUGGUGAAAGCAGAAUAAUUCAUUGGUAACGCUUGAUUAAUCUCUGGUUAUAGUACUCAAUAGAUUUAGUGAGACAUUUCGUCAAACAGGUAGGUUGUAAAAAUUAUAUAGCCUAUGGUAAAAAAUUUGAAUUAGGAUAUAGAGAUACAAAGACAGGAAAAUUCUUUUGUAAUAAUUGUAAAGAUAAACAACAUGAAGACAAUACAAUAGAAAUUAGUGAACUAAUAAAUACAACCUAACCCGCACUCAUAAAAAUUAUAAAUUAUUAAACUCACCCAUAAUCGGCAGUGGGUUUUUUAUUUUUUUUAAAAAGUCCAUCUAUUGCUGGUUUUAGGGGUGGUAAAAAUACAUGUCUGAUCUAAACUCUGGCGAUGUGGACCGGAUAAUGCUAAGCUUGGGUAUGAAGCCAAACUUGUCUUGGGCAUCACUUUAUAAACUCAAGACUCGACCCAAAACUUAAAUUUUAUUAAAAAAGUAUUAUAAAAUGUAUAUUAUUUUUAAUAUUUAUAUUUAUUUGACUGAUCUAUUACAUAUAGAUAAAAUUUUAAAUAUUUGAAGUUUAAAUUUUCAUGUUCGAUUUCAUUGAAAUAAAUUUAAAAAUUAUAAAAUUAUAAAAAAUUAUAAAAAUACAUAUAUAAUAAUAAAAAAAUACAAAAUACUGGGCACAAAAACCUGGAUUAAAAAACUUGGACUGGGUGUUUAAAAAUUACAUCAGGGCCAGGUCCAAGCAUUUCGAUACUUAGACCCGAACCUGAGAUUUAACAAUUAACAAACUAACCUAUAGCACCGAGUAAAUUUUUUUUAUAAGUUUUCUCAUUUAAAAUCAUAAAUAUAAAAAAAAAAUACUUUUAAUAAUACAUAAAAAAUUAAAUUAAGUGAUUCAAAUAUAAAUUUAUAACCCCUACAAAAUUCGUGUACAAAAUUCAAUUCUAAAUUUUACCAAUGAAAAUAAGAAAUUAAAAUUCCAACAUUAAAAAAAAAACAAAAUAUACUAAAUCUGACUUACAAAAUAAAAAAGAAAAACAAUAAAUAGCUGAUAGUAAUCUACUUUACAAAUUAUUAUCAUAUCCCAAAUCAAUUUUCUAAUCAUCAAAAUCUCUAAUCAAUUGAAUUGUUUCUGUUGUUAUGGCUUCUUCUUCUUCUUCUCGUCCAUCCAGCAGUUUGAGUUCGAUGAAUAAUCCUCGAAACAAUAAGUAUGAUGUUUUCCUGAGUUUCAGAGAAGAGGAAACCAGUGAUAGCUUUACUAGCCAUCUUUAUUCAGCCUUGUGUGAAACGAGUAUCGAAACUUUCAUUGAUGACCAACUCGUCAGAGGAAAUGAAAUCUCACAGUUUCUUCUUGAUGCAAUUGAAGCAUCAAGCAUAUCAGUUAUCGUAUUCUCUGAAGGGUAUGCUUCUUCCAGAUGGUGCCUCGAUGAACUUCUAAAGAUCCUCGAUUGCAGGAAAGAGUAUGCACAGAUUGUGAUACCAGUUUUCUAUCGGGUCGAUCCAUCACAUGUGAGAAAGCAAAUUGGGAGUUUUGGGGUUUCAAUUUCGGAGCUUGAAAAAAGAUUUCCAGACAAGAAACAAAGUUGGGGGAGUGCUUUAACUGAAGCAGCCAAUCUCUCUGGCUUUGAUUCUCAUGUCUUCAGGUAGCAGUCAAUUUAUUACCAAUUUUAUAAUUAUUUUUAUUUACUCAAGUUCUAGUAUUAUAUGAAUAAUUUUAAAAGCAAAAAAACUGUCUCAAAUCCGAACUAAUUAAAAACUCUCCUUUUUGUCUCUUUUUGAACUUAAUACUAUGUUUCUUGUAUUUGCUAGGAAUGAAUCUGAACUUAUAAAGACAGUUGUUGAUGAGAUUUUGGAGAGCCUGCCUAAAGUGGUUCCAUUUGAUAACAAAAAUCAGCUAGUUGGAGUAGAAUCAAGAGUUGAGGAAAUUGAAUCUCUAUUAGCUGCUGCACCUAUAUUAGGGAUUUGGGGCAUCGGUGGUGUAGGCAAGACAACAAUUUCUAGGGUGAUUUUCAACAAAAUCUCCAGAAAUUUUGAAGGUUCCUGCUUCCUUCAAAAUGUAAGAGAAGAAUCGCAGAGCCCUGGUGGAUUAGCUAGGUUGCAGCAAAAACUUUUUAAAGAAGUAUUGAAGGAUGUAAGCGUGAUUCCUGAUAUUGACUUCAACUUUAGAAGGCUCAGCCGCAGGAAGGUUCUGAUUGUUCUCGAUGAUGUGACUAGUUUCAGACAAAUAAAAUCCUUAAUCAGAGUUUCUGAUUGGUUUCUGCCUGAAAGUCGUCUCAUACUGACCACAAGAGAUCAACAAGUCCUUAAAAAUUGGGUUGUGAAAGAGAGAGACAUUUAUGAGAUGAAAGAAUUAGAACACGAUCAUGCCCUUGAGCUUUUUAGUCGACAUGCCUUCAAACAAAACUGCCCUCCUGAAGUAGGUUAUAAGGAAUUGUCAGAGAUUGUAAUAAAUUAUGCUCAAGGUGUUCCUUUAGCACUGGAAAUUUUGGGUUGCUAUCUAUUUGGAAGGGAAAAGGAAGUUUGGGAAAGCGCAAUAAACAAAUUGAAAAGAAUUCCUAAUUUGGAGAUACAAAAUGUGCUAAAAGUAAGUUUCGAUGAUCUGGAUGAUGAAGAGAAAGAUAUUUUUCUAGACAUUGUUUGUUUCUUUAAAGGGAAAGAUAAAGACUUCAUUAUAAAAUUUCUUAAUGCUUGUGGCUUUGAUGCACAAAUAGGAAUAAGUGAUCUUGUCAAUAAGUCUCUUAUUGUCAUACACGACAACAAAAUAACAAUGCAUGAUCUGUUACAAGAAAUGGGUAGGGAAAUUGUCAGGCAAGAAUCUGUGAAAAAUCCAGGAGAACGCAGUCGGCUGUGGCACCAUGAGGAUAUUAUUGAAGUUUUGACCUUUAAUACGGUAAGCAUUUUGUUUGAGACUUUAUAUUAUUUGUGAAUGCUAUUGGAUUUGUAAACUUUACUUAUAAUUAUGUAUAAGUACAUGGGACAUAAGAUCAAUAGAAGAACUGGCAAUAAUAAAAAGGAAAAAAAAAUAUUGCAAUGUCAAUUUACAACUAAAAGUCUGGCAAACAGACAGAGAUACGUUACAAUGUCAAUUUACAUCUAAAAGUAUGGCAAAUUAACAAACAUAGAUACUUUAUAUGUUUAGUAUUGUUUGUAUUACUAUGUUUCUUUCGUACAUAGGCAUGUCCAUACUUCAUGGAUACUUUAUAUGCUUAGUAUUGUUUGUAUUACAAUGUUUCUUUUGUACGUUGGCUUUCAAUUAACUUGAACAUUAAUUUAAAUUUGAAUUUAACUUCCUGGUCUUUCAUUGAUUGUUAGGGGACCAAAAAAGUUGAGGGUAUCUGCUUUGAUAUGUCUAGAAUAAAAGAGAUCUAUCUGCAUCCAGAUACUUUCACAAAGAUGUGUAAAUUGAGAUUUUUGAAAUUCUAUAACUCUAAAGAUGAUGGAGAGAACAAAUGUAAGGUGUCUUAUUUGGUAGGACCUGGAUUUGCUGAAGUGAGGUAUCUUCACUGGUAUGGAUAUCCACUAAAAUCAUUGCCGUCAAAUAUUCAUCCAGAGAAACUUGUUUCAAUUGAAAUGCCUCAUGGUAAUAUUCAACAACUUUGGGAUGAUGUCGAGGUAUAUAAAAUCUUAAUAUUUAUGCAAUGUUUCAGUAAUAAUGUUUAAUUAUUUAUCGUACUUAAAUGCUAACAAUUUGUAUGUCUGGGCUUCUAAUUUUUUUGGAGCAGCAUAAUGGUAAGUUAAAGCAGAUAAUAAGCCGGGCCUGCAAUUUUUUCACCAAAUCUCCAAACCACUCGUUGACCCUGCAUCUGGACAAGCUAGUUAACCUCAAUCUAAACAAUUGCAAAAGCUUGAGAAUUCUUCCAGCUGGAAUAUUUCGUUUGGAAUUUCUUAAAGAACUUGAUCUUUGGGGCUGCUCAAAACUAAAAACGCUUCCAGAGAUAUCAUCAGCUGGUAAUAUAGAAGUGAUGUAUUUAAAUGGAACUGCAAUUGAAGAACUGCCUUCAUCCAUAGAAUGUCUAUCUCGGCUUUCGGCCUUAUACCUUGAUAAUUGUAAAAGGCUGAAGAGUCUCCCAAGCAGCCUAUGUAAAUUGAACUCUCUGAACUUUAUUUAUCUCAGGUGGUGCUCAAGUCUUAGGAGUUUGCCUGAUGAACUUGGAAAUUUAGAAGCUUUGGACAGUUUGAUUGCUGAAGGAACUGCUAUAAGAGAAGUGCCGUUGUCCAUUGUUGAGAUCAAUAGAAGAACUGGCAAUAAUAAAAAGGAAAAAAAAAUAUUGCAAUGUCAAUUUACAACUAAAAGUCUGGCAAACAGACAGAGAUACGUUACAAUGUCAAUUUACAUCUAAAAGUAUGGCAAAUUAACAAACAUAGAUACUUUAUAUGUUUAGUAUUGUUUGUAUUACUAUGUUUCUUUCGUACAUAGGCAUGUCCAUACUUCAUGGAUACUUUAUAUGCUUAGUAUUGUUUGUAUUACAAUGUUUCUUUUGUACGUUGGCUUUCAAUUAACUUGAACAUUAAUUUAAAUUUGAAUUUAACUUCCUGGUCUUUCAUUGAUUGUUAGGGGACCAAAAAAGUUGAGGGUAUCUGCUUUGAUAUGUCUAGAAUAAAAGAGAUCUAUCUGCAUCCAGAUACUUUCACAAAGAUGUGUAAAUUGAGAUUUUUGAAAUUCUAUAACUCUAAAGAUGAUGGAGAGAACAAAUGUAAGGUGUCUUAUUUGGUAGGACCUGGAUUUGCUGAAGUGAGGUAUCUUCACUGGUAUGGAUAUCCACUAAAAUCAUUGCCGUCAAAUAUUCAUCCAGAGAAACUUGUUUCAAUUGAAAUGCCUCAUGGUAAUAUUCAACAACUUUGGGAUGAUGUCGAGGUAUAUAAAAUCUUAAUAUUUAUGCAAUGUUUCAGUAAUAAUGUUUAAUUAUUUAUCGUACUUAAAUGCUAACAAUUUGUAUGUCUGGGCUUCUAAUUUUUUUGGAGCAGCAUAAUGGUAAGUUAAAGCAGAUAAUAAGCCGGGCCUGCAAUUUUUUCACCAAAUCUCCAAACCACUCGUUGACCCUGCAUCUGGACAAGCUAGUUAACCUCAAUCUAAACAAUUGCAAAAGCUUGAGAAUUCUUCCAGCUGGAAUAUUUCGUUUGGAAUUUCUUAAAGAACUUGAUCUUUGGGGCUGCUCAAAACUAAAAACGCUUCCAGAGAUAUCAUCAGCUGGUAAUAUAGAAGUGAUGUAUUUAAAUGGAACUGCAAUUGAAGAACUGCCUUCAUCCAUAGAAUGUCUAUCUCGGCUUUCGGCCUUAUACCUUGAUAAUUGUAAAAGGCUGAAGAGUCUCCCAAGCAGCCUAUGUAAAUUGAACUCUCUGAACUUUAUUUAUCUCAGGUGGUGCUCAAGUCUUAGGAGUUUGCCUGAUGAACUUGGAAAUUUAGAAGCUUUGGACAGUUUGAUUGCUGA
rnacentral:lncRNA from 1 species